CAGGAAGCUUGAAAUCCACAUGUUUUGAACGGACGGAAAUGUUUUGUUGCAAGAGGCGAAUAAUGGCCCAUAUACCCAAGGAUUUCAUCUUACAAGCCGAAUUGUACGCCAUAACUUGACUAUGAGUUCAAGAUGACAACGAUGAGAACAAAAAUGCAAAGGAUACUUGCCUUACAUUUACAUUGCAAUACAUGACUGCAGGAUAUAUGAACAGAAAACAUGGACAAUGUGUAAUUCACGGCAACAUAACUUUUUGAAAUUGAGAUAACUUUCCAACCAGAAGUUCCACAGUGUGAUCAUGGUGAUGUCAAACAGCAUGUUAAAAAUGAUUAAAAACAAUAUAGUAAGACUCAGCUUAAAGGUGAAAGGAGGACCCAGUUUUUGACACCCACUUUUUCUUGCCUGUUUUUUCUGGACAGAAAGAAAACCCUUCAUUUAAAUAGAAUGCAGAAAGUGACUGUUAAAUUGUAAAAUUAACGGAACCUACAGAAUGACAGAUGGAAACAUGUGUACAGAAAAAAACUCAUGUAAUCUAUAAAGUAAUUCAACAUCUUGUAGCAGCCUCGUAGAGAUCGUUCCACAGCAGUAAAGGAUGGUCAAAGGUGACCAGUUCUAAUUUCAACAUGAACACAGACAUGUCAGACAGAGAUUAAUCUCAACAAUUACAAUUUGAAUAAAAAAAAUGUGUGCACAUACAUUUUAUACAUGUACAAUGUUGUACCUGUAUAGUGGAAAAAUUACAUGUGCAAUUUAUUACGGACAGAAGACCAACAAAACAGGGCUAAAUGUUAUAGAUAACUGUAAAUUUACAUUAUGUUCAUAAGAACAGCAGUAUCAACAUUUGAACAGUAACAUCAUCCAUUAAUUUUUUGUCAAGCAUGUGUAUCAAAACAUUAAUUUGAUUAAAUAUUUCUAUUCA